CAUAGGAUUCCCUCACCCGUCCAAUUUUUUUCAUCAUCCUUAUCCUUAAUUGGGUCUCACGCGUACAUGACCCGACCCAAAAACUUUUUCUUUGUAGCCAAGCACACAUAUUAUAUGGAGUGUAUAAAUAUAUCUUGGGGAUAUCUAAAAGUGAGGAGGAACCCUAGAGCCCUAAAGAAAGAAAAAGUUGUGCAGCAGCUGAUAAAAAAAUGCAGUAGCAAGAGCUAAAAAAAACCCAGCUUCAUCUCCCUCAAGAACACCUGCUAAUCACCAUUAAAGCAUUCUAAAAUCAGCACCUAAAACUCGACAAAAUACAUCCAUUUUUACCUCAAGUCCACCCCAAAAUACAAUAGAAAUCCAAGCCGAAAAGGAGCAGCAAAACCAGUUUUAAAACCUCCAAAAUCCAGCCAAGAACUCCAGCAAAGCUUCAGCUCGAAAUCGGGCUUCCGACGAAUGGUUCCGGUAAGUUUUGAGGUUCCGGUGCGGUCUUCGGGUGGCGGGUCUGUUUGUUUUUAGGUUGUCGGCAUGCCUUUCCUUGUAUGCUGACCAGAGGCUCUUGCAAAUACAGAAGCUAAUUAAAAAAAAGAUUCAGGUAGUUUUGAAUCCCGUAACGGGUGUUGAUUGCUUAGUGGCAGAGUCAUUGGAGUUAGCAAGGUAGUUGCCCGACGUUUGCAGCACUGUUAUUUCUCCCUCUUUUCUUCCUUAGACUGUAUUUAGUACAUUUCUAGACUCUUUGUUGUAUUCAGAUCUUUGUAGAUGCUCGUGACUUGUGAUACCCCGAUGUCGGGCUUGUAUAUUUAUUCUGCACUAGUUGUUUAGACUUAUAUUAUAAGAUUUCUUCUUAA